AGUUUGAUCCUGGCUCAGAUUGAACGCUGGCGGCAUGCCUUACACAUGCAAGUCGAACGGCAGCACGGGUGCUUGCACCUGGUGGCGAGUGGCGAACGGGUGAGUAAUACAUCGGAACAUGUCCUGUAGUGGGGGAUAGCCCGGCGAAAGCCGGAUUAAUACCGCAUACGAUCUACGGAUGAAAGCGGGGGACCUUCGGGCCUCGCGCUAUAGGGUUGGCCGAUGGCUGAUUAGCUAGUUGGUGGGGUAAAGGCCUACCAAGGCGACGAUCAGUAGCUGGUCUGAGAGGACGACCAGCCACACUGGGACUGAGACACGGCCCAGACUCCUACGGGAGGCAGCAGUGGGGAAUUUUGGACAAUGGGCGAAAGCCUGAUCCAGCAAUGCCGCGUGUGUGAAGAAGGCCUUCGGGUUGUAAAGCACUUUUGUCCGGAAAGAAAUCCUUGGCUCUAAUACAGUCGGGGGAUGACGGUACCGGAAGAAUAAGCACCGGCUAACUACGUGCCAGCAGCCGCGGUAAUACGUAGGGUGCAAGCGUUAAUCGGAAUUACUGGGCGUAAAGCGUGCGCAGGCGGUUUGCUAAGACCGAUGUGAAAUCCCCGGGCUCAACCUGGGAACUGCAUUGGUGACUGGCAGGCUAGAGUAUGGCAGAGGGGGGUAGAAUUCCACGUGUAGCAGUGAAAUGCGUAGAGAUGUGGAGGAAUACCGAUGGCGAAGGCAGCCCCCUGGGCCAAUACUGACGCUCAUGCACGAAAGCGUGGGGGAGCAAACAGGAAUUAGAUACCCUGGUAGUCCACGCCCUAAACGAUGUCAACUAGUUGUUGGGGAUUCAUUUCCUUAGUAACGUAGCUAACGCGUGAAGUUGACCGCCUGGGGAGUACGGUCGCAAGAUUAAAACUCAAAGGAAUUGACGGGGACCCGCACAAGCGGUGGAUGAUGUGGAUUAAUUCGAUGCAACGCGAAAAACCUUACCUACCCUUGACAUGGUCGGAAUCCUGCUGAGAGGCGGGAGUGCUCGAAAGAGAACCGGCGCACAGGUGCUGCAUGGCUGUCGUCAGCUCGUGUCGUGAGAUGUUGGGUUA
rnacentral:rRNA from 1 species